UACGUAGGGUGCGAGCGUUGUCCGGAAUUACUGGGCGUAAAGAGCUCGUAGGUGGUUUGUCGCGUUGUUCGUGAAAACCGGGGGCUUAACCCUCGGCGUGCGGGCGAUACGGGCAGACUUGAGUACUGCAGGGGAGACUGGAAUUCCUGGUGUAGCGGUGGAAUGCGCAGAUAUCAGGAGGAACACCGAUGGCGAAGGCGGGUCUCUGGGCAGUAACUGACGCUGAGGAGCGAAAGCGUGGGGAGCGAACAGG
rnacentral:rRNA from 1 species